AAAAAAAAUAUAGAAUUCUAAUUUCUAAUAUUAAAAUUAGAAUAUUCUAUUAAAAUUCAAAUAUUAAUAAUUAUAAUAAUUAAUAGAAUAAUAUAUUAUUAAUAUAAUAUUAAUAAUAUAAUAUUAAUUUAAUAGUAAUUAAUUAAUUAAUAGUAAUUAAUUAAUUAAUAGUAAUUAAUAGUAAUUAAAUAGUAAAUUACUAUAAUACUAAAUAAUACUAAUUAGAAUACUAAUAUAUUAAGAGUAAUAUAAUAAUAAUAUAGUAAUAUAAAGUAAUAAAAAAGGUAAAAAAAAAAAGAAAGUAUAGAAGAAGGACUUUUUUUUUUCAAGCCCUACUUGUUGUGUAUUGUUGUGUAAUGUAACAUAGGAAUUAUCUUUUCUCAAUUGGGAGAGAUGGCUGAGUGGACUAAAGCGCCGGAUUGCUAAUCCGUUGUACGAGUUAUUCGUACCGAGGGUUCGAAUCCCUCUCUUUCCGGUUCCGUUGAUGACUUGGUAUUUUUUUUUCAAGUCUUUUUCUUUAUUUAUUUUCUAAUAGUUAAAGAUGUAGAAUAGAUAAAAUUCUAAGAACAUUUAAUAAAAAUAAUAAAAAUAAAAAUCAAGUAAGGAAAAAGCCUUAUUUUUUUUUUUAUUCUUCACGUCCAGGAUUACGCCCUGGAUCAUUAGAUAAAAAUCCAAAGAGAAAAGGGAAACAAAGAAUAUUACUACUGUGUAAACAAAGAGUUUGAGAGUAAGCAUUAGACAAUCUCCAAGAUCUUUUUUUUUUUGUUUGGAAAAAAAGAAAAUAGAUUCUCUAUUUUUAUACUAUAUAUCCUAUUUUGACACCAAGAAAUGAAGUGGCUUCUAGAAAUUUUUCGAAAUAGAAAAGCAUUUUUCUAAAUUCAUUUGUAAUAAGAGUCGAGUCUUUCGUGCCAAAAAUUUUCUUUCAUACCGAAAAUUAGAUAUUUCGAGGGGCUCUAACCGAAUAGGUUUCUUUUAAUAGAAUGGAAAAAAGAGGAGCAUGGGGUAGGUAAUCUAUAUUUUUCACGUUUAUACAAUAACUUCAAUGUUUGAAUCAAGGGCCUAUACUAUAAGACUUAUCUGAUCUAUCAAUUAUUAGAAUUUUUUAUCUUGAAUAAAUCAUGAAUUAUUCUAGGACAGUAUUCAAAAUCUCAUCGAAAACUUACAGCAGCUUGCCAAACAAAGGCUAAUAGAAAAAAGAACAGAGGGAUUACUGGCAUAACAUCUACGAUUGGAUUCAAAAAAGCGUAGGCUUCAGGCAAUUUUGUGAAGAAAAAACUGCUUGAAUAAAGGGCAAAAUUAAGACAGAUACAAAUCAAAUUUAAAAUAUUAAGCAUAACAAACAUUUUGUUCUUGAAGAUAAUUGUAUUUUGACUGAGUUAUUAAUAUUCAUAUAAAAAUGGAUAUAAAUUAAUAUUAAUAUAAAAUAGAGUUAAGGUAGACAAAAAACUUUAAACUCAGCCAAUCAAAAAUCUUUCAAUUAUCAGCUAAAAAAAGAAUAAAAGAAAUCAUAUUUUCAUACAAUAUCUUAAUGGAAUUCUAUAUUAUGAUCAAUAAAUUCAGUUUAAUUCUAUAUCUACACAUAUCAAAAUACGAACAACAAGCUAAUCCAGUUCAUAGAUAUUUUUGGGGACGGGAAUUGACAAAGAACCAAUACCAAUAUUAGUUUUAUUAGUUUUGAAUCAAAAUAGAAAUGGGGCGUGGCCAAGCGGUAAGGCAACGGGUUUUGAUCCCGCCAUUCGGAGGUUCGAAUCCUUCCGUCCCAGAGCAUAUUUAUUUUCUAUAUCAAAAUUAUAUAUAUCAAAAUAAAGAUUGUUUUUUUGAACAACAAAAGUAAGACGGGUUUUUUCAUUAUAUCUUUAUCCUCGGGCUGGUUUAGGGUAAAAAAAAAAAGGAAACAAUGAAUUCAUCUGAACCUCUUUGGCUUUGUACCUAUAAAAAGAGAGUCUAGCAUCCAAUAAGAUGGAAUCGUUCUUUAUUUGAAUUUGAUUUCUCAUUCAUUAUCCCACACCCCAUGAUCAUUUUCAAUGUCUGUUCGAAUCUCAUUAACAAACAAAGAAAAUACAUAUGUUACACAUUUCUUUUUCGACCUAUUCAUUUGUUUUAUUUUAAAUCAUUGAUGGUUUAAUCUGAAUCUGAAUAUGGGAUUUAUCUCUUUUAUGAUGAUAAAACGGAGUCCUUACUAUAAACUAUAAAACGUUAUUCAAAUAAUGAUAUCGGGAUAAGCUAUUUUUUAAUUAAAUAAUUAAAUUCUUUUAAUUUAAUGAUUUUUUAUGAGUCCUUGGUACUUGAAGAAGUGUGGGAUUCACGACUCGGUCCUAUCGAGUCACUUGAAGAUGAAGAUUCGAAGAGAACUACUUAUUUCUUCGUCUUAUCUUAUUGGUUUGCUAAUAUUCGUAUUGGAAAUCAAAAAAUAUUUAUAUGAUUCAAUAAAAUAUCAAUAAAAUAUGGGGUUAAUUUGAAUUAAUUCUUUUGUUUUCUUCAUUGUGUAUUUUUUUAUUAACAGAUUUACAUUCAUAUUGACAACAGUGUAUCAAAUAAAUAUAAUCCGAUCUGGGUAAUUAGAUCUUAUCUGUAGAUUUAUUUAUAUCUAUUCCAGUGGUUUGGUUUUUUUUUUUUUUUUCUUCAUUCAAAUGAAAUGAUAGGUUUAUUGGAUUUGCUGUGAUACAAAAGUCUUUUUUUGAUUGAAAAAAAAAAUGGAAAUGUAUUGAAUGUAUUGUUAUAUUAGAAAAAUGUAUAAAAAUGAAUAUUUCCAUUUUUUAAAUUAUUUUCAAUUUUAAAUAUAAGAAUAGAUAGCAUAAGAGACAAUAGAUAAUCUAUAAAUUUUGACUUUAUUAAACUUUAUCUAUACUUUAUUUAAAUUUAACUUUAUCUAUUUUUUUAUCCGAAUCAAUUAGAAAUUUUUCUAUUUAAUUUCGUGUUCAUUUCUUGUUAGUUUAAUGUUUUGAUUGUGUCGUACGAUUCAAUCUCUUUAUUUAUUCUCUUUGAUUUAUUUUGAUUUUUGAUUCUGAUUCUAUCUACAUAACCUAAUUAUUUGUAUUUGGGUUGCUAACUCAAUGGUAGAGUACUCGGCUUUUAAGUGCGGCUAACAGCUUUUACACAUUUGUACGAAGAAAGGGAUUCGUCCAUACCAUCGGUAUUAUUUGUAAGACCACGACUGAUCCUGAAAGGAAUGAAUGGAAAAAACAGCAUGUCGUAUCAAUGGAGAAUUCUGAGAAUAUUUGAUUCUUACCGGAUCGGCUCCAAACAAACCUUGUUUGAAUUCUUGGUGCGUAACAUAAAAACAAAUGAAUUCAAAUUCAAAGUUGGGGUUGGGUCGAGUUAAUAAAUGGACAGAGCUCCGCGGCUCCAAUUAUAGGGAAAUAAAAAAGCAACGAGCUCCCGUUCUUAAUUUGAAUGAUUUUCCGAUCUAAUUAGACGUUAAAAAUAGAUUAGUGCCUAGUGCGGGAAAAGCUUUUUCUUGAGUGGAUUUUCGAUUUUUUUAAUGAGUCCUAACUAUUAGCUAUUCUCCACUAUGAAGGGGAGUUGAAUGUGUAGAAGAAAAAGUAUAUUGAUAAAGCAAUUUUUUUUUCCAAAAUCAAAAAAGAGUGAUUGACUUGAAAAAGUAAAGGAUUUCUAGUCACCUAUUACCCUAUAAAUGAACAUAAACCAAUUAGAAAUGAACAUAAACCAAUUAGAUGGAAAAAAGAGAGGAUAGAGGGUCCGUUGGUGAGUUUAACUAUUUCCGAGGUAUCUAUUCUUUUUAUAUUAUACUAUUUUGUUUUUAUGGUAUCGCACUAUGUAUCAUUUAAUAACCCAAUAAACUCCCUAUCUUUGCUUCAAUCAAAUCGAAUUAAAAAUGAAAAUAGAGAAAUCUCAAAGAAAUUUAGAAAUAGAUAGAUCUCGAAAAAAUGACUUCCUAUACCCACUUAUCUUUCGGGAGUAUAUUUAUACAUUUGCUCAUGAUCGUGACUUAAAUAGAUCUAUUUUGUUAGAAAAUGUAGGUUAUGACAAUAAAUAUAGUUUACUAAUCGUAAAACGUUUAAUUACUCGAAUGUAUCAACAGAAUCAUUUGAUUAUUUCUGCUAAUGAUUCUAACCAAAAUACAUUUUUUAGGUAUAACAAAAAUUUGUAUUUUCAAAUGAUAUCGGAGGGGUUUGCAGUUAUUGUGGAAAUUCCAUUUUCCUUACGAUUAGUAUCCUCUUUAGAAAGCUCAGAAAUAGUAAAAUCUCAUAAUUUACGAUCAAUUCAUUCAAUAUUUCCUUUUUUAGAGGGCAAAUUCCCACAUUUAAAUUAUCUGUCAGAGGGACUAAUACCGUACCCCAUCCAUCUAGAAAAAUUGGUUCAAAUCCUUCGCUAUUGGGUGAAAGAUCCCUCCUCUUUGCAUUUAUUACGACUCUUUCUUCACGAGUAUUGGAAUUUGAACAGUCUUAUUAUUCCAAAGAAAUCUAUUUCCUUUUUUGUAAAAAAGAAUCAAAGAUUCUUCUUGUUCUUAUAUAAUUCUCAUGUAUAUGAAUACGAGUCCGUUUUCUUUUUUCUUUGUAAGCAAUCCUUUCAUUUCCGAUUAACAUUUUAUCAGGUCUUUCUUGAGCGAAUAUAUUUCUAUGGAAAAAUAGAACAUUUUGUAGAAGUCUUUACUAAGGAUUGGGGGGACAGCCUAUGCUUGCUCAAGGAUCCUUUCAUACAUUAUAUUAGAUAUCAAGGAAAAUCCAUUUUUGUCUCAAAGGAUACGCCUCUUCUGAUGAAAAAAUGGAAAUAUUACCUUGUCAAUUUAUGUCAAUGUCAUUUUGAUGUGUGCUUUCAACCCCAAAAGAUCCAUAUAAACCCAUUUUCAUUAUACAAGCAUUCUUUCGCCUUAUUAGGUUAUCUUUCAAGUUCAAGUGUACGACUAAACCUUUCAGUGGUACGGAGUCAAAUGCUAGAAAAUGCAUUUCUAAUGGAUAAUAUUAUGAAUAAACUCGAUACAACAGUUUCAAUUAUUCCUUUGAUUGGAUCAUUAGCAAAAAUGAAAUUUUGUAACGCAG
rnacentral:lncRNA from 1 species